UCUGGGGGUGACUUGCAGUUGCUGCCAAGUGACAACUGGAUAUGAUGACUGAUUACCUGAGAAAAAGACUUGAUGAAAUCUCAAGAAGAUUCCUCUAGAUAGUCAAGUUCUGAUCCAGCUGUGUCACCUUAGCAGCAA
rnacentral:miRNA from 1 species